UUUCUCAUUUUGUUUGUUCUAAUCUUACAGGUGUCAAAAUCCAUCCAUUUUCGACCAAGAGAUUAGCCUUGCUAAUGGCUAAUGACGUUGGGAUUUUGGUAAUAGGAAAAGUGGUGUAGAUUGGACACCUGAAAGAAAAAACGACAAAUGGAAUGAUAUUCGUGUUUUUUCUCCCCCCCCCCCCCCCCCCGAACUAAAGAAAGUAACGGUGUAUGUACAAUAUUAUCACCAAUAGUCUUUAGUUUAGUGUCAUUUAGUUAAAAGAGGUAUCAAGUUUUACAUAUAUGAAUGAUAAUGACAAUAUAUAUUUUUAUGAUGAGUUCGAUAUCUAGUUGUGAUUAGCCUUAUUAUAAUGAUGUUUUGUCUCAUUGUAAAAUAUUUAUAAAUAUUCUAUUUUUAUAUAAUAAAAAAUGUGUAUGUACAACAUAUGGUUUGAGAUAAGAAUUUUGAGUAUUUUAUUAGUAGUCUUUAUUAAAGAUAGUGAUGCGAUUACGACUUAUAGACACACAUAUAUAUAUAUAUAUAUUAAUAGUGUGGUAGGAGAAGAUACAGGCUUUUUAAAUAUCAAAUUGAAAAGAACCCAAUUGAAAGAUUGCAUUAUAAAAGGAACCAAAACCCACUGAAGGAUAUAAUAGCACACGUCGGCAAAUUAAGUCAUGCGUGAUUGUAAUUUUCUAUUAUUGUGUUAAUGUAUAUUGCAAUAUGUAACCGGCCUAUACCAAAUAUAGAUAGCAGCCAAAAGGAAUGGAUCGAAAAGGAAAAUAAAAUUUAAAAAGAGUCACGAAAACAAAUUCAAAUUUGGUUUCUUUGUGGCUAUUGUAAUCGAGUCUUUCGAUUUUUAUUAAUGUUAUUUUUAUCGUUUGAUAAAAUAAAUAAAUAAAUAAAAGUCAAUGGACACUAGAGUAGAGUUUAUUUUAUUUAUUUUGGUAUAAGGAAAAGACUUUAUCCAAAGAAGGUGAAAUAGUAUCCAAUUAAAAUAGAAUUCUGAAUGUCCAUAAAUUUGGUUUAAACAAGAAGACAGGUUCAUUUAUUCAUAGAAAAAUAUGAGAGAGAGAGAGAGAGAGAGAGAGAGAGAGAGAGAGAGAGAGAGAGAGAGGGUGACGUUCGUUUUUGGUAAGUGCCCGCCUUUACAUAAAGUCUUGUUUAAUUGGAUUACAGAAAUAGUAAAAUAGUAAAAUAGUAAAAUGGUAAAAUGACAAAAUUGGAGAGGACGUCCAAAAGGGGACAGUACUAGGACGGCCAUAAGGCUGACGAUGAUAAAAACUACAUUAGUGGUCAAAACUAAAAAUAAAAACUACACAUUUAAAUAAGAAUCAAAAUAACAAAUAAACGAAUUGUCAAACAGUCUGGUAAGACAAAUAGGAAAAUAUAUAUAUAUAACAAUUAUCAAAUUAACGGGAUGCGUUUGAUUGAUCAAGAAAAGCAUGGAAAGAUUUUGUAUGAUCAAUUAUUAUCACUCAAGAUUUUUAGUGAUCUUUAAUCACUUUUUCACUUCGGAUUAUCGAUAAAAAUAAAGAAAAGUGCUUGUUUAUCAAAAUUGUUAUAAAGCAUAAGAUAGGAGACGAAGUUGCUCGAAUGAGCAUGGAGAGAUAUUUAAGAGGAUAUUAAGUGGUUGUUUAGUGGACAAUCAAAGCUAGCCCCACUGUUUGGUGAUGAUGUAACCUCUUCCAUAAGAUACUUGUCGGAGAGAAUAAUUACACUAAAUAUUUGACUUUUUCUUUGGGAUCCAGAUUUGACUUUCGUGUUUUAGCCAUCAUGAGUGAUCAAUUUUUACUUAAUUGGGAUCAGUCUAUUUUGUCCAUUUCACACGUAAUCUAAUGGAGGAUGAGAGAUUAUCCAAUAAAUUCCACGUGUUGAACGCCAUUGUCUCCUAUCAGGGAGGAGGCAGAGGAGACAUUCGGCUUCAAAAGGAAAAACAAAAACCCAAAUGAUCUAAUGUGGAGCAAUGUUUAUAAAAAGAUUAAAGUCAGUAAGAUUUGUAUCUUAUUGAUAGGGGUUGAAUCGUAAUCGUGAUUAUCUUUUGUAUUUUAUUGAAAUUUAUAUUGAGUCUUUAUUUGGGUAUGAGUAUUGGUUGCAUGUGUAACUAUUUUAAUUGAGUCUUUUGACUUUUAUCAAUGAUAUUUCUAUUGUUUAGCAAAAAGUAAAAUAAAAUCACCACGCAAUAGUAAAAACUUAGUCUUACUUUUUAUCAAAUUAAUAUACAUAUAUAUUUAAAUACAAGCGAUAGUAUAAAAUACAAGGGAAUGGAGUUCACACACACAUACACAUACCACCCAGAUAUCAUGGGGGUUCACACAUAAUAAGAUCAUUGGUAUGCAAGUCAAGGUCAUUUUCUAUUGAACUAGAUCUUGUUAAUAGAUGGAUACAAUAUUUUUGGCUAAGGAAUAAUAUCAAGGCUAAGUUAAUGUUUCCCAAAAUCAAUAUUGGUUACAUUCAUUAAGCAAUCCAUUAUGUUAGAACUUAAAAGAGAGAUACAAGAAGUCCAAGACUUGGUGGUUUUUUCUGCCAAAAGAUAGGGGAAGUGAUGGACCACUGCAUGUAUAGGAAGUUCUUGAAUUUGUCCAAGUUGCGAAUGGUAAAAGAAUGAUGGCUUAUCAUUAAGUGAAGUGAAGAGUUGGAUUAUAAUAUAUCUGAUGUCAAUGAGAAAACAAAUGUGCAUGACAUAUAUGUUGGCGAGUAUUUACUUACUUACGAUUUUGGUUCCUUAUUUUAUUAGAAUUUUGGUUACUUACAAAUUAUUAUUUAGUCCUAUUGUAAUAAAGAUUUACUUCCUAUUGUAAUUUAGAUAUAUUUUCUAUUUUAUUUAGGGUUAACACAUCAUUGUACUUGUAUAAAUACCUCCAUAUUGGAGAAGAAUAAUAAUAUGAGCGUAUCUGAGCAUAUCUAAAUAUUUACCAUACUUUAUUUGACAUGGUAUCAAAGCCAGGUUGCUAACCUGUGAUAUCCUCUGACAAAUUGAGCGUCGUUGGCUUUCCUCAUUCCUAACCCAUCAUGGGUCUUCACCUUGCUGUAAAUCCCCGUUUCUCCUUUCCUUAAUAAUCAACAUAUAUUUCUUCUGCCUUAGCCAUAAUCGCACCUUUCUGCAAUUUACCCUUAUCUCUGUCCUUGCCUUGUUUAUGUUGAGUCAUUACCUUUCUUUUUCUCUACAUAUGCCCGCUGCUGCCUUUUUUCUCUUACUUUUCAUCUCUCUAUGAGCUUGCUUUCUGUUAAAAUCAGAUUGAGCCCAUGUUAGUUUCAGUCUCUUGCGCUCACCGGCGAGCCUCUCUUUUAAAUGUAUACCAUAUGGGCAACACGCCCCUUGGCCAUUGAUGGCAUGAUCUCUUUCCUUCGUGAGCCUCGUCACUGCUCACCGAGCAAUCUCAAACCUCCGCAAGCCUCGUCACAGCUCGCCGAGCCUUCUCCUAGCUGGCCUUUGUCUCUAUGUUUAUUUGGGUGUUAUUUUC
rnacentral:lncRNA from 1 species